UCAAUUGUCUGCCUUAUCAACUUUCGAUGGUAGAUUACAUGUCUACCAUGGUGAUAACGGGUAACGGGGAAUCAGGGUUCGAUUCCGGAGAGGGAGCCUGAGAAACGGCUACCACAUCUAAGGAAGGCAGCAGGCACGUAAAUUACCCACUCCCAGUACGGGGAGGUAGUGACGAUAAAUAACGAUCCGGAACUCUAAUGAGUUUCCGUAAUCGGAAUGAGUACAAUUUAAAUCCUUUAACGAUGAACUAAUAGAGGGCAAGUCUGGUGCCAGCAGCCGCGGUAAUUCCAGCUCUAUUAGCAUAUAUUAAAGUUGUUGCGUUUAAAAAGCUCGUAG
rnacentral:rRNA from 1 species